UUUCAUUCCCUCAAGGAAGAAGGCCUCUUGCGCCAUGAAGGUGUGUGCUCAAUUAGUCUCUCUCUGGACUGAAGGCCUAGCCAUGGGACAAGGCAGUAUUUACACAAAACACAGGAGGCACCUUAGAGCAGGAAAUACAAGGGGCACUUGCUGACCUGGGGCCACCUUAGCCCUCCUGAAAGCAGCGGGAUGCAGAGUGGAAGCGGCUGGGUAUGUUUCCCAUGCACACCUACUAACAUCUCUUCUGCUAGCACAGGAGGUCAGGUGAGUUUUGCAAAAGCAUAGUGACCCCCUGAAGAGAUGACUCACAUGUGUGAUGCUAAGCUGGUUAAAUGUGUUGCCAGCUCUACAGGUGAUAAACUCCCUUUUCCUCCUUAGCCACCCUCAACUCACGUAUGGAGGCAAAGAUAAUUUUAUUCUACAACUCAUGUCUCAGGUACUUGUGGUAGAGAACGACUGCAGGAAAAUAGACUCCCAGCACAAUGUCAGCUAGCAACCUGUGAAAAGAACAAAUACAGCAAAUCCAAAGGGGCCCGGUUUCAAAGAAGUUGGGAAUAGGAGAGAAGUUCUGCCUUUCAGCUUGGAACUCUCCUCAAUCACUGCUAUCUCCAGUAAGAGCUCAUGCAUAUUUGAGGCUGUUGGUGUGAUUAAGGAUUUGGCAAUUUGUACCAACAAUCUGUCAUUUGAAACCACAUAGUUUAUAGGAACCACAGAAAUCAGUAGGAUAUUUCUGCAUAUAAGGGCCAUUGAUGUCAGCGUGAGCUGGACAGUCCAACCCUCAGAGUCUGCUGUAAUCAGCCAAAUAAGGAUCAAAGGCACAAAGCACAUGCAAAGCAAUACAGCAAGGAUAUCUGAAAAGGCCCCAGAAACAUUUGAGUUGCAUCUGUCAACAACUUCCUGAAACUGAGCAUUAAGUAUGCUUCCAUUUUGCCCCAUACCAGAUCCUGCUGCCAUUGAGAGAAAGCCCCCAUUGAAAGAUGUUGAGUGAUUUGAUUGUCCCUGGAAAGGCUGGAAAUCAGACAUAAGAAUGGAUUUAUUCCAUUCUUAAUAAGCCUUUUAAAAUUAACCAGCCAAAUCAACUACAGUAGUAUUCCACAGGUGCAGUUAAAUUUUAUUUAUGUCAGUCUUUAAUUGAAUCCUUCUCCAUAGUGGAAGAACAUUAAAUUAGCCAAGUUAGUUCAAAGCUAGAGUUGAUUCAUGGAGGGAUUAAGGUGGGGUGUGAAACCUUGGUUCUUCUUUCUUCUUGCAUGCAUUAUGAUUAAGUGUCAUCAGUGGGCAUGUGGUAUUUUGAAUUAAUAAAAGAUGAUGUAAAAUAUCCAUAAGCCCUAAAUCUGAGAUAUCUGAAAUAUUUGGCAGUAAGGAGGAUACUGCACUUAGAGUUACUGUUUCUCAAAUUCAUGUAAAGUAACUCACCCCACUGCACAACAGAUUCCAAUAUUUUGUUCUUUCAUAAUAGCGAUUAGAUCAAUUAUACCUCAGCUGUAAGAGAAAGGUACAAUACAAUUGCUCCUACUUCUCAGACAAAUUUCCCAUAACCUAUCUCUCUGUCACACUUUCAAAUUUAACCUUUACAGUGAGAUGGUUUUUUAAAUUAAAAUAUCUAGAAUCCCACUGAAACCUUGCUUUCAACUAAAUCUCAUGUCAAACUGUAUUGGCUGUACGUUAAGUGCUAGAAAGGAUUGGAAACAAAAAUCUACAUUAAACACUGUUAUAUAUUUAAUAAUUACUGUGCAUACUUCCCUGAUCUCCCAUCAAGGGAAAUAUCUAGAUUUAUGCCUAGUAUUCCUUAGCAAAUACCCCUUUACUUUUCCAGGAAUGCUGCUGUCUAGUCUGGACAGUGUGGUGCCUGGACAAGUAACAAACCUAGAGUAUCACUACCAAAGGCAGUGAACUGGAGGAACUGAAAGAGCCUUUCUCAGCUGGGGUGUGAGGUGUAGCAUGGAUAAAGAGGGUCCUGGGAGACACUGUGACAGAGUUUGGGAGCCAAGGCAGAGGUAAGUCCACCAUAGGGAUGCCUGAGCACACCCCUCUUCUAUGGCACAGGCCGUAAUGUAUUAGACCUGUAAAUAUUGGUAUCUGCAGUUAAAAAUGAAAGUGAAGAAUUUUUAGCUUUCCUAUGUAUUCUCGGGCUUGUUGCUUUGGAACAGGAAUGCACUGUCAUAAUAUCUCUUACGUGUUGCCAUGUCUUGCGGUUGCUUGGAUUGUCAAUGGGUUGUUUUUUCACUGCAGACUAUUGAAAAGGGGCCUCACAUGCUGCAGACCAUAUGUGAGAGUUGCUUUCCUCAAUGCAGUAAUAAACAGCCACGAGAUAAAAUAUCCCCAAAUAAUGAGAUUACUGACAUGGGAUACAGCUUUCAAAAAUAAUUACAUUUGACACCCUCAUCAGCAGCUUGUAGGGGCUGCAAGCUCUAAGCUUGGGAACAGUGUAUGAAAGCUUAGCUUCUCCUGGGAAAGGAGGCACAAGGGAGGUUAUUUUUAGUACUUCGGAGAGAAAAAAAAAAGCCAGAAUUUAAGCACUCUUUGGUUUGAUACCCUCGUUAUGGAGGGGAUCAUGGACAAAUAAAGCAAAAGCGGGAGUGGAAAUGUUACUGAGGAUGGGAACUGGGAGCAAGAGGUUGAACAGAGCAAAGCGGGAGCGGUAGGGUCAGAACGGAACGAGGUGGGGCGGCGGAGGGGCGCUCCGGUUACCCCGCCACGCCUCCCCGUCCCGUCCUCGCUUCUACCGGUCGAUACAUUAACAACCCAGCGACGGCGGAGCAAGCGGUUCCGUUUUCGCCACGGUAUAUAUAGAUCAGACACUUUCCAAAACAAGCAGCGCCGCCAAGUCGCUCUGUUCCGCGGCGCGGCUUCUUCCACCCGUAAUUCAGAAAAGAAAAA